AGCCUCAUUCCAGAUGAAAAUGAGCAUUGUUGUUCAUGGGGUCCAGAAAUUGUUAAUGCAGCUACAUUGAGACACAAUCUAUGCUUCCAUCACAGUAAGUUGAUUGCAGUGGUGACAGUUAGACCUUAACAUUU
ensembl:snoRNA